AAUCUGAGGGUCCAGGGUUCAAG
rnacentral:piRNA from 1 species